GGGGAAUCUUGCGCAAUGGGCGAAAGCCUGACGCAGCAAUGCCGCGUGAGGGAAGAAGGUCUUAGGAUUGUAAACCUCUUUCAGCAGGGACGAAAACAGACGGUACCUGCAGAAGAAGCCCCGGCUAACUACGUGCCAGCAGCCGCGGUAAUACGUAGGGGUGAGCGUUGUCCGGAAUCAUUGGGCGUAAAGAGCGUGUAGGUGGACUGGAAGGUCUGGUGUGAAAGCCCGGGGCUCAACCCCGGAGGGUCACUGGAAACCAACAGUCUUGAGUCCGGAAGAGGAGAGUGGAAUUCCUAGUGUAGCGGUGGAAUGCGCAGAUAUUAGGAGGAACACCAAUGGCGAAGGCAGCUCUCUGGUACGUGACUGACACUGAGACGCGAAAGCGUGGGGAGCGAAC
rnacentral:rRNA from 1 species